UCUUAAACAAACCAGAAUGGUAACAUUUGUGAUUUCUAUUUGUCUUUUUUGUUUAAAGGGAAGGCGAGGCAAAACAGGACCCCCUGGAAAACCAGGACCACCGGGACCUCCUGGUCCUCCUGGAAAACAAGGAAGACAAUAUACUCUUGGAGGAUAUUAUAACAAGGUAUUUAUUUUCUUUUAUGGUAUUUUUGUGUAUAUAGUGAAUGGACAUGGUAGGGAGUCUAAAAAUAUCUUUGUCCUAACUUCUAGUAUAGUCUUUGCAUACCCUAACUGGUAAGUCCUUAGCACCCAAACAUAAGCAGGCA
rnacentral:lncRNA from 1 species